UCCCUGAAAUCCUAUAAUGUGAUGAUUUUUUUUUGUUGUGGUGUUAUUGUUGAAAGAUGGUAUAAAAUUAUUUGGCUUUUCUCUAUCUUUAAAUUACUUCUUUGUUUUGGUAAGAGCCAUAAUGGUUACUUGCUCAAGAUCAGAUGAUUGCAUUCUUCCGCUGAUUUUUCUUAUACUUCCUGGAAAUAUGAGAUGUGCUGCUUUCUACUAUGAUCUUAUUGUGAAAGAUGAUGUAGAGUAGUACAUAGUUAGCUUCUCUAGCUUUAAAUUUUCUUUUGUAACUUGUUGUACCUGCUCAAGAUUAGAUGGUUGGCCUCUUUACUAAUUUUCAUUUUUUCUUCUUUUGUGUGGAGAAUAAUAGUAGAAAGUGAAGGUUAUGGGGGGAAGAUGGAUGAAGAUUUUGGAGUGGACAUGUGAAACUGUGAAUUUACCAUGUUAUUAGCAUAUCUUGUUUAGAAAGAAAACUUAAUCGAGGUUAUAUUUUUAUUUUUGAGUGGGUAAAUAAUGAAAAUACUGCAAGUUGCUGAUACGAGGAAUUGCCAUGGUAUUUUCUCACCUUCUUUGAAAAGCCACAUUAUUUGAGUCCUUAUAGCAACUCUUUACAUUUAUGUACAUGUAAAUAUGUUUUAUUAACAAGUUUUUCACCAUAAAGUUUGUGUGCUUUCUGUGGUAUGUUUGAAAUACAUGAAAAUUAUCAGAACAUCUUCAUAUGAUUUCAUUCAUGAAUUCUAUGAGUUAUUCUUUUAAUUAGUAAAAAGGAAAAAGGAAGGGGGGGGGGGGGCUGCAAUAACAAUUGACUGAUUACCAAAGAAAUGGCAAAACAUCUUCUUUUUUUUCCCACUAUGGAGCAUUUUACUGGAAAGGUCACACCAGCUAUUGAAAAGUAUUCUCUAAGAAUAGACAUAAGAUGGUUGGGAUAGCUAUUAAGUGUUUAUUAGUUGAAACUCACAAGCUUUAGUUUCCUAUGGACAUAUAUAAGUAUAUAUUAACACAUGGAAGAUGAAUUGUCAUUGUUAAUCAAUAUUGCAAGCACUUCUUAUGGCAUUUAAUUUUUUUUACAAUAGGUUUUGUAGAAUGAUGAGAAAUGUUCCAUAUGUGAUAAAUAUGGGGAGGCUGGUCUUAAAGAAGAUGGCAUGGGUAUGGGGCCUAUUAAAAUUACCAAAAUAUGUGGUGUCAAGUGUUUCACAAUUUGUUGAAGAGACAAAUCCUAAAUACCAGAUUUUGUCCUUGCAGGUCAGUUCAAGAAGUAAUCCACUUUACAAUUUCAGAUAUUCUAUGCUUUACUUGCACGUAUGUUUUUUGGGUUCUUCAUCUCAGUGAUUAAACAUUUAUCAGCUAUGUUUCUUAGGUUCUUUAUCUCAGUAAUUAAACAUUUGUACAUGUUCAUACUAAUUUCAAACUCACCCUUACAACUAUGGUGAGCAUGUUUAUUAUAUAUACUCAAAAUAUAUAUAUAUAUAUAUAUAUAUAUAUAUAUAUAUAU